AGUAAGGUCAGCUAAAACAAGCUUUUGGGCCCAUACCCCAAACAUGUAGGUUGAAACCCUACCCUUACUA
rnacentral:tRNA from 1 species